rnacentral:rRNA from 1 species
AACGAACGCUGGCGGCAUGCCUAACACAUGCAAGUCGAACGAGACCUUCGGGUCUAGUGGCGCACGGGUGCGUAACGCGUGGGAACCUGCCUUUAGGUUCGGAAUAACUCAGAGAAAUUUGAGCUAAUACCGGAUGAUGUCUUCGGACCAAAGAUUUAUCGCCUUUAGAUGGGCCCGCGUUGGAUUAGCUAGUUGGUGGGGUAAAGGCCUACCAAGGCGACGAUCCAUAGCUGGUCUGAGAGGAUGAUCAGCCACACUGGGACUGAGACACGGCCCAGACUCCUACGGGAGGCAGCAGUGGGGAAUAUUGGACAAUGGGCGAAAGCCUGAUCCACCAAUGCCGCGUGAGUGAUGAAGGCCUUAGGGUUGUAAAGCUCUUUUACCCGAGAUGAUAAUGACAGUAUCGGGAGAAUAAGCUCCGGCUAACUCCGUG